UCCUUGAUGGUCUAGUGGUCAUGAUUUCCGCUUGUCAAUUCUCGCUGAGAACAACAAGCGCGGGAGACCGGGGUUCGAUUCCCCGUCAGGGAG
rfam:Trichophyton rubrum CBS 118892 genomic scaffold supercont2.7, whole genome shotgun sequence.